UACGUAGGAUGCAAGCGUUGUCCGGAAUUAUUGGGCGUAAAGAGCGAGCAGGCGGUUCGACAAGUCAGAUGUAAAAUAUCCCGGCUUAACCGGGAGGGGCCAUUUGAAACUGUCGGACUAGAGUGGAGCAGAGGAUAGUGGAAUUCCCGGUGUAGUGGUGAAAUUCGUAGAUAUCGGGAGGAACACCGGUGGCGAAGGCGGCGACCUGGGUAGAUACUGACGCUGAGGCGCGAAAGCGUGGGAGCAACAGG
rnacentral:rRNA from 1 species